GCUGGGCAUGGUGGUGCCUGCCUGUAAUCUCAGUAACUCGGGAGGCUGAGGCAGGAGGGUCACAAGUUCAAAGCCAGCCUCGA
rnacentral:sRNA from 1 species